UGCUGGAGGUAUCAGAAGUGCGAAUGCUGACAUAAGUAACGAUAAAGCGGGUGAAAAGCCCGCUCGCCGGAAGACCAAGGGUUCCUGUCCAACGUUAAUCGGGGCAGGGUGAGUCGACCCCUAAGGCGAGGCCGAAAGGCGUAGUCGAUGGGAAACGGGUUAAUAUUCCCGUACUUGGUGUUACUGCGAAGGGGGGACGGAGAAGGCUAUGUUGGCCGGGCGACGGUUGUCCCGGUUUAAGCGUGUAGGUGUGUGUUCCAGGUAAAUCCGGUUCACUUUAACACUGAGGCGUGACGACGAGGCACUACGGUGCUGAAGCAACAAAUGCCCUGCUUCCAGGAAAAGCCUCUAAGCAUCAGGUAACAUCAAAUCGUACCCCAAACCGACACAGGUGGUCAGGUAGAGAAUACCAAGGCGCUUGAGAGAACUCGGGUGAAGGAACUAGGCAAAAUGGUGCCGUAACUUCGGGAGAAGGCACGCUGACACGUAGGUGAAGUGAUUUACUCAUGGAGCUGAAGUCAGUCGAAGAUACCAGCUGGCUGCA
rnacentral:rRNA from 1 species